rnacentral:rRNA from 1 species
UACGUAGGGACCAAGCGUUGUCCGGAUUUAUUGGGCGUAAAGAGCUCGUAGGCGGUUUCGUAAGUCGGGUGUGAAAAAUCUGGGCUCAACCCAGUGGAGCACCCGAUACUGCGAUGACUGGAGUCCGGUAGAGGAGUGUGGAAUUUCUGGUGUAGCGGUGAAAUGCGCAGAUAUCAGAAGGAACACCGACAGCGAAGGCAGCACUCUGGGCCGGUACUGACGCUGAGGAGCGAAAGCAUGGGGAGCAAACAGG